rnacentral:rRNA from 1 species
AACCUCCGCAAUGCGAGCAAUCGCGACGGGGGGACCCCAAGUGCCACUCUUAACGGGGUGGCUUUUCUUAAGUGUAAAAAGCUUUUGGAAUAAGGGCUGGGCAAGACCGGUGCCAGCCGCCGCGGUAACACCGGCAGCUCUAGUGGUAGCCAUUUUUAUUGGGCCUAAAGCGUUCGUAACCGGUUUGAUAAGUCUCUGGUGAAAUCCUAUAGCUUAACUGUGGGACUUGCUGGAGAUACUAUUAGACUUGAGGUCGGGAGAGGUUAGCGGUACUCCCAGGGUAGGGGUGAAAUCCUGUAAUCCUGGGAGGACCACCUGUGGCGAAGGCGGCUAACUGGAACGAACCUGACGGUGAGGGACGAAAGCCAGGGGCGCGAACCGGAUUAGAUACCCGGGUAGUCCUGGCCGUAAACGAUGUGGACUUGGUGUUGGAAUGGCUUCGAGCUGCUCCAGUGCCGAAGGGAAGCUGUUAAGUCCACCGCCUGGGAAGUACGGUCGCAAGACUGAAACUUAA